UCCAAACACAUUCAAAAAAGUCAGUACUCAUAUAAACAUCAUAGUUGAUUACAAAGGAUUAGAGUAUCACAUUACCAAAAACUAUACCAAUUCAAAUUGUAUGACAUUAUUUUUUUCAACUCUUAAAUGAGAGAAAAUAGAACUAUAGCAUAUACAAACAACAUCUUUAAAAAAUCCCUCGCAAAACAAAGUGGGUUCCUCUUGCACUUCAACUUGUUCUUUAAUAUUUUUCAUCAGUUUCAACUCGCUCUACACUAUCUUCAAGAAAGCCAUAUCUUCAAAUUCUUGAUCUGAUAAAAUGAAAAGUGUAUGUUACUGCAUUACAUCAGCAAUUAGGAAAAAAGAUUAAAAACUUGAUGCAUCAAUUGCUUGUGGAAGUUUUGACAUUUCAUGAAACUUUAAUCAUGCAGAAACACACAAGAAUGCAGAGUAUUGUGCAGAAAUGCAGAAUGAUGCGUAGAAAUGCAGAAUGCUGUGUAGAGAUGAAGAACGCUUUACAAAAAUGCAGAAAACUGUGCAAAAAUACAAAAUACGAAAAUGAUGUCCAGAAUUCAAUAACACUGUAGAAAUGACGAAUGCUAUCUACAAAUGCAGAACGUUGUCUAGAAAGGCAGAACGCUGCCUAGAACUGCGGUAAUACUAGAAAUACAAUUCCAAGUUUGUUAAAAAUCUUACAAUUCCAAGUUUGUUAAAAAUCUAUCUUAAUUUUUUCAUGUUCACAUCAUUGUAGUAUAUACAAUAUCUAAAGUGGGGUAGAGGAGAAAAAGAUAAAGAUAAGCCUAAUGUUCAUGAGAUCUAUAUGAAGAUUACAUACAAUGUAAUUACAAAUAUUAAUCAUAGGUGGAGGUUGACUUGAGUCUCACAUAAGUAGGGCUAUCCUUCUCAAUUUCACUUGAGUGAAUUAGGAAUUACCAUUGAUAAUCUACCACAAAUGAAAUUUACUUUAGGAAGAAAAAACUUCAGUAGUAAGAGUAUGGAAGCUUUUUCUCUUUUGGGGAACCAUAUCUCACAGAUAAGAUAUCAAUGACAAAAUUCUUUCCCUUUCUUUUUGCUGAGAAUGGUAACAUUUGGACAAAAUUCUUUCCCUUUGUACCAUAAGAUCCUCUUCCAUUCCUUUUUUUAGCUUAUAAUAUUUGUAGUUCUGAGAUUGACUGGAGUUGGAAUCUAAUUUAUAAAUUUAGAAUGGAGUAACCAUGUAAAGUUAAUAGGAGUAAUAUUAGAUGGAAGAUCAUCAAAAAUAUGAUCACGGACCUAAAUAGUCAGAGAUAGGAAAGAAAUAGUCGAGUGCAAGUGAUAAAGGGACAACUUAUAGUUGGAAAUCUUAAUAUAAUAUCACUUCAUGCAUGUCAUUAAUAGGAAAAGCUACAGAAAAAAGACUUCAAAUGUAACCCAUGGAUAAGGAUUCAUGUUAGUAUCUUUCACUUUGGAUUGCUAAUUUAAAAAGCCUAUCAACUAUACCUAAUAUAAUGCAAGCAUUUAAUAUUCUUGAACUAAUAGUGAAACAGAAGAGAAAUGACAUACUUGAAAUGGUAUUUAUCCUCACAAACAACAAUCACGAAGUAAUAAUGGUGAACCAAUGUCUGCAUGAACAACAACUACUACCUCCUGGGAUUGCUGAGCAUCGACUUCAAAGAAAUUCAAGCAACUUGUGCUUCUAGGGAAUGUCGAGCAACUUCUGCCUUCUUCACCUUCUCUUUCCUGAUAUGAGUUGAUUGUAAGACUCAAUUCAAAUAAAUUGUUGAACAAGUGAAGCAAUAAAAGAACAAAAAAUAAACAAUCAUCUCCAAGAACUCACCAACAAAAAAAUAAUAAUUUCCUUUUAAGGAGAGAAAAAGAAAACAUAUUGAGAGAGGUAGAAUAAAAGUGUUGUUAUACCGAAUUAUUAUUCUGAGAUUUUUAUCAAUAAGUAAGACAUGAAGAUGUGAUUUACUUCAUAUAUACAAGUGCACAAUUCUAGAGGAGGUAAUUUAUUGCCAGGGAAGUAUUGUGAAACAUGUAACUGCUUUACUUGUUGCUUGUUACUCGAAACAUGUGAUAUUCAAUUGAUAUAUUUAUUGCAAGCUGUAUCAACAGAAACUAAUGUUCUUAUUAUGCGUUUAGCAAGUUAAAAAAAUAAGAUGCUAAAAGAUCACGUCUUUAAGAAAAUCUUAGAUAUAGUCCCUUCCUACUUAAACCAAUAUCAUUCUUUUCCUUGAGGAUCUUCAACAGAGUAAGCAAUGUCCAAGAAACAUUAAGCACCAUUAAUAUACUCUUUGCUAUACCUAGUUAAAUCCAUCCAACACUUGGACAUAUCAUCUUGAAGUAAAGACAAGAACUUUAUAGAAUUGUAAAGUCCCAUGUAUUUCAGUUCAUCCAACUAGUGAUAAUUCUUUAAAAAACCAUUAUGUCUUCAUGGUUAUAUCUUUAGCCAUAACUGCAACGAAAAGCACAUAGAUAAAGAGCAAUAUAUAGAAAAAUCAUACAAGACAAGAAAAAAGAGAUUACAACUUCCUAUAUUUGUACCUAUUUCUCCCUUCACCUCAUGUACCAAAUGAAGAUCCAUACUUAGGUCAACAAAACAACAAAAAUUGCAGAAAAUUACAACUCUGGGCAGGUUUAAUCCAGCAUAACUAGACUAUGAUAAAAGAUAGUAUUGGGAAACAUUAUAUUUUAAGAAGUAAUCCAAAAUACUUGAUAAACACAAAGAAAAGAAGACCAAUACCAUCAAACCGAGAGACCAUUGGACAAUGAAAAGAAUACCCAAUUCCACUCAAUAGUUACAACAGCAGGUUUAGCGAUUUGGCAUAAACUUACGUUGAUGAGAAGGAAAUUCUUAGGCGAGCAGUCGAUGUUAACGGAGGAGACGGGCAGUAUUUUUACUUCGAAGAAGUGUACUCCAAGAUGGGCAACCGGAGGAGACGGUGGUGGUGACCAGUUUUCUUCAUUCUUCCGAUUGAAACAAGCGUUUUUUUAUCCAAGCUUAAGGGUUUUUUUUGGGGGGGGGGGAGUUGUAGGGUUGGGUUUGG
rnacentral:lncRNA from 1 species